rnacentral:rRNA from 1 species
GACGAACGCUGGCGGCGUGCUUAACACAUGCAAGUCGAACGGAAAGGCCCUGCUUGCAGGGUACUCGAGUGGCGAACGGGUGAGUAACACGUGGGUGAUCUGCCCUGCACUUCGGGAUAAGCCUGGGAAACUGGGUCUAAUACCGGAUAGGAGCCAUUUUUAGUGUGAUGGUUGGAAAGUUUUUUCGGUGUAGGAUGAGCUCGCGGCCUAUCAGCUUGUUGGUGGGGUAAUGGCCUACCAAGGCGGCGACGGGUAGCCGGCCGGAGAGGGUGGACGGCCACAUUGGGACUGAGAUACGGCCCAGACUCCUACGGGAGGCAGCAGUGGGGAAUAUUGCACAAUGGGCGCAAGCCUGAUGCAGCGACGCCGCGUGGGGGAUGACGGCCUUCGGGUUGUAAACUCCUUUCGCUAGGGACGAAGCUUUUUGUGACGGUACCUAGAGAAGAAGCACCGGCUAACUACGUG